AGUGAACGCUGGCGGCGUGCUUAACACAUGCAAGUCGAACGAGAACGGAUUUUAGCUUGCUAAAAUUGUCAGCUAAGUGGCGCACGGGUGAGUAAUAUAUAGGUAAUGUGCCCUCUAGAGGGGAAUAACAGUUGGAAACGACUGCUAAUGCCCCAUAUGCCUUUAGAACAUAAGUUCGCAAGGGAAACGUUUUUUCGCUAGAGGAUCGGCCUGUACAGUAUCAGCUAGUUGGUAAGGUAAUGGCUUACCAAGGCUAUGACGCUUAACUGGUUUGAGAGGAUGAUCAGUCACACUGGAACUGAGACACGGUCCAGACUCCUACGGGAGGCAGCAGUGGGGAAUAUUGCACAAUGGGGGAAACCCUGAUGCAGCAACGCCGCGUGGAGGAUGACACAUUUCGGUGCGUAAACUCCUUUUAUAUAAGAAGAUAAUGACGGUAUUAUAUGAAUAAGCUCCGGCUAACUCCGUG
rnacentral:rRNA from 1 species